rnacentral:lncRNA from 1 species
AUAUAAUCCUCCAAAGACCAUUUUCCAUUGUGAUGUUUCCCCAGCCCUGCUUAGCCCAUAGGAAUUGAUUCAUAAGGUUCAUAUCCUUGAUUGCCAAAUCAUCUUCUUCUUUGCUCUUCCAUGCUUGUUUCCAGUUUAUCAAGCAUUUGAGACCUUCAUGUAUUCUUUGCCUGACCAUAACAAGGUUCUUCUACAACGAUCAAUUUUCCUGAUCAACCAAGCUGGUAACUUGUGUUUGCCCAUGAAU